GCAAGCGUUGUUCGGAUUUACUGGGCGUAAAGGGCGCGUAGGCGGUCAGCACAAGUCAGUUGUGAAAUCUCCGGGCUUAACUCGGAAAGGUCAACUGAUACUGUGCGACUAGAGUGCAGAAGGGGCAACUGGAAUUCUCGGUGUAGCGGUGAAAUGCGUAGAUAUCGAGAGGAACACCUGCGGCGAAGGCGGGUUGCUGGGCUGACACUGACGCUGAUGCGCGAAAGCCAGGGGAGCGAACGGG
rnacentral:rRNA from 1 species